ensembl:lncRNA
GGGGAAAGGGGAGGGGAAACUUUAAAACUACUAAUGACUCGAACUAUUUUUGUCCACAGAUACGGAUUCCAGUCCUCGAUAACACUCCUCUUCAGCCCUUCCUCGACACACUCCACUUCAGCCCUUAAUUUCCAGCCGACUCCACUCCAGGUAAGUUUAAAGCAAGAGCUAGGCAGUUGACGUGCAGGGACUUUCUGGCUCUGGGGGGGUGGACUUCAAGACCCAAGGCUGAGCUGUUAGCAUGCAGGGGUUCUAGCUCCCAGGUAAGUACAGAUUUCAAUACACAGGUGGGUAUUCACAGGGCUGGGCUGUUAGCGUGCAGGGGUUCUAGCUCUCAGGUAAGUACAGCGUUCAAUACACAGGUGGGUAUUCACAGGGCUGGGCUGUUAGCGUGCAGGGGUUCUAGCUCUCAGGUAAGUACAAAGUUCAAUGCACAGGUGAGUAUUCACAGGGCUGGGCUGUUAGCGUGCAGGGGUUCUAGCUCUCAGGUAAAUACAGAGUUCAAUACACGGGUGGGUAUUCACAGGGCUGGGCUGUUAACGUGCAGGGGUUCUAGCUCUCAGGUGAGAACAGAGUUCAAUACACAGGUGAGUAUUCGCAGGGCUGGGCUGUUAGCGUGCAGGGGUUCUAGCUCACAGGUAAGUACAGAAUUCAAUACACAGGUGAGCAUUCACAGGGCUGGGCUGUUAACUGGCUACUCACCACUGAAGAUAUUCAGAGGUCGGUAUUCCAAGCAGAUACGGGUUUGGUCGAUGACUGACGGCUGGUGGGCCUUACAGGUGAGACUGCAAACAAUACUGGGCUUCCCGCCCAGCUUGGCAAGGGGGCACACGGGGGAGGAUCGGCUGUUGUCCUUCGCUUCCCUCGUCGAAGAGACAGCACAGACGACAUGCACAAGGCCGGUGGUUGCUGACAAGGCCAAUGACACAACGUCACGUGGAUGAAAGGGUAAGGCUUUGAUUUAAAAGCUUACAGAGAUCGCUGUGUGGGCGACGUCAUCCAACCUCCUCCAGAGGCGCCUCCAACACGUCCAAGCUCCAGCUUACUUAAGGUAAAGACUGUGGUUGCCACCAAUACACUGCUCCUCUCUGUCAGGCCUCUUCCUACGACCGGGGACACAGCCACGGACAAACACCACACACCACAAAGGCACUACAAUUCUUCUCGUGUGUACACUUCAAUAUAGCAGCACUCACCGCACUCCACACACUCAGUGAAAGAAGAUCCGUGGUGUAUUCCCGUUUCGGGCUCAGAGUCCUGGCGGGGCGUGUCAGAUGGACGAAGGCAGGGGGCAGACCACAGCAGGCGUAUAUAUCGUACACCGGAGUCUCUCCGUCUUUCCCAGCGAUCUCCAACGCAAGGCACUACUAUCAACACUGAGUAAACACACAAGCACUGAGGAUUAUUAGAUCAACACAAGAGAGGGGGGGGGAAUUACCCACUGCUACGGAGAAAUAUGCAGUCGGAACCCUUUCUUAAAGGCAGUUAGUCUCCCUCCACAUCCGUCAUCCACUCUCCACAAUAUACAAGGAAUGUUCAUAAAGUCUUCACCCACCAGUACACAGUGUUGUCCUCUCCCAAUACGAAUUCAAUGAUCUCCUUCACUCAGGGGCCUUCCAAACAUAGGAUCGCUCCUUCAACUCAAUCCACAAUAAGGUGUAAACACAACAUACAAAAGGUUGAUCACUUAACUUCCUCCGCACUUCCAAUCUCCCCUUUCCUUGGAUUCUCCGUUGCAGCCCGUAAAUCACAACAUCCACACCACACCAGCCACUUCCGUAUCGUGUGGAACAACAGCGAAACAGACUACUCCCCUCCUGUUCAUAAACCAGCCCCUUUUAUAUCUCUGCUUCCUUCCCGAUCCUCCAAUCGGUAUCCGACACGUCCUCUUCCCACACCUGACGUGUAUCUUGGAUAAUUUCCCCGCCUUGGGCCAACCGGAACAGAAAAAUUAGUCCGGGCGGAAAUAUUUCCCACACUUCAGUUCCGCCCGGAAAAGAAAAGUUCCGCUCGGAUUAGUCACCCGGUGAC